CCAUCAUCACCAUCAUCCUGACUAGUCUUUCAGGCGAUGUGUGCUGGGAGACAUUUAAAUCUUCCAGCGGUGCAUGAGCGUAUGAGAAAGCCCCCGGAAGAUUUCUUCCGGGGGCUUUUUUUU
rnacentral:sRNA from 2 species